CCUACGGGAGGCAGCAGUGAGGAAUAUUGGUCAAUGGCCGGAAGGCUGAACCAGCCAUGCCGCGUGAAGGUCAGUGCCCUAUGGGCGUUAAACUUCUUUUGUGCGGGAGCAAUAAUGGUCACGUGUGGCCAGACGAGAGUACCGUACGAAUAAGUAUCGGCUAACUCCGUGCCAGCAGCCGCGGUAAUACGGGGGAUGCAAGCGUUAUCCGGAUUUAUUGGGUUUAAAGGGUGCGUAGGCUGGGAGGUAAGUCAGCGGUGAAAUGCCCCCGCUCAACGGGGUGAAGUGCCAUUGAUACUGCCUGGCUGGAAUGCGGAUGCCGUGGGAGGAAUGUGUGGUGUAGCGGUGAAAUGCAUAGAUAUCACACAGAACACCGAUUGCGAAGGCAUCUCACGAAUCCGCGAUUGACGCUGAUGCACGAAAGCGUGGGUAUCAAACAGGAUUAGAUACCCGAGUAGUC
rnacentral:rRNA from 1 species